AUUGAACGCUGGCGGCAUGCUUUACACAUGCAAGUCGAACGGUAACAGGCCUUCGGGUGCUGACGAGUGGCGAACGGGUGAGUAAUGCAUCGGAACGUACCCAGAGGUGGGGGAUAACGCAGCGAAAGCUGUGCUAAUACCGCAUGUGAUCUGAGGAUGAAAGCGGGGGACCGAGCAGCAAUGUUUGGCCUCGCGCCUUUGGAGCGGCCGAUGUCGGAUUAGAUAGUUGGUGGGGUAAAGGCCUACCAAGGCGACGAUCCGUAGCUGGUCUGAGAGGACGACCAGCCACACUGGGACUGAGAGACGGCCCAGACUCCUACGGGAGGCAGCAGUGGGGAAUUUUGGAGAAUGGGCGCAAGCCUGAUCCAGCAAUGCCGCGUGCGGGAAGAAGGCCUUCGGGUUGUAAACCGCUUUUGGCAGGAACGAAACGGUGUCCGCUAAUACCGGGCGCUAAUGACGGUACCUGCAGAAUAAGCACCGGCUAACUACGUG
rnacentral:rRNA from 1 species